ensembl:lncRNA
UAGCAUCAUGUAUUUAUGUAGACAAAACACAGAACCUGAGAUAACAUUCCCAGUAUCCACAACCGGGGAAAGAAAAAAAUCUUUGAUUAUUUGGAAUAAGAAUAUUUCAGUCCAUCAGCAUUUCAUCAAGAUGCUAAAACUAGGAGAUGUUAGUCAAAAGAUCAAAAUAGUCAACUUUCAGUUCACAUGCAAACAGAACUAUCAGAGGCUAAAUUAUGGAGGAAACCUCUCCUCUGUAACACCCUCUGCUGGAAGUGCAUAAAAAUCCACCCGAUACAUGUGACAUUUGCCUGACAGAACAAAACUAAAAAUGACAAGGGUCUUUUUUUUUUUCCUUUUUAGCUUAUGUAGCAGGUAUUUGGGGAAAAAGGGUAAAAAACAGACAUCACUACACAUACAUAUACAACCAAGUACAAAAGUGAGUAUAAAAAUAAGAAUUGCGACUCAAAAGUAGUAGUUCAACUUGUGCAAACAUGUCUGCGAGAAAAUAAAACUAUAUGAUCGUUAACUUGUCAGCUUGGCAGAACAAAAUGAUCAGGGAAACUGAGGACGACAAGUCUAUACCACUAAAACUGGUUAGGUAGUCAACUAGGCAGUGAAACCUCAAAACUAAAACGUACCAUCAGGCACAGAUCUAGAACGUCAAUAAACAACAUGCAACCCUUUUUUGCAAGUAAACAAGACAUUUUAAAAAAGUACUACUCGUAAAGCAAGAAUGCAUGUGAUGAAGCCAUUAGGUGCUGACGCUACCUGAACUUCUACAUCUACAAAAUUCCCUUUACAACAACCAAAAUGUCAUUUCAUGUUGUCCUUUAAAUCAGGUAAAAACAAAGUACCCACUGAUUUGUCACGCUUCGUACACUAGUGACUGGUGCAAGGAAAUAAGUGAACAGCAGAUAAAUAUCUUUGAUAAGAUGAAAAAAAUAAUUAAACAGAUGCAGUUUAAAAAUAAGGAACAGUAUCAACAAAGUUACUGUUGUGGCGUCUUUGAGGAAAUAACUGUGCAGGAAGUGAGCAGUCAGUCAAACAAAUCAAGUGAAAGUUUACAGAAAAAUAAGUGAGCAGUGCUGCUGUAAGACAGCACAGUGUCUCAAUUAUUUUUGGCUAAGACAAAUGUAAAUAUCUUUGGGUAAUAACAGAACUAAAUUUGUUUAGUUUAGAAGUGUUGCAAUUA